AGCGAACGCUGGCGGCAGGCCUAACACAUGCAAGUCGAACGACCUCUUCGUAGUUAGUUGCUGACGGGUGAGUAACACGUGGGAACGUGCCUUUUGGUUCGGGAUACCUCAGUGAAACUUGUGCUAAUACCGAAUGUGCCCUUCGGGGGAAAGAUUGAUCGACAUUAUAGAGGCCCGCGUCUGUUUAGCUUGUUGGUGUGGUAACGGCGCACCAAGGCUACGAUCAGUAGCUGGGCUGAGAGGAUGCCCAGCGACACUGGGACUGAGACACGGUCGAGACUCCUACGGGAGGAAGCAGUGGGGAAUCUUGCGCAAUGGGCGAAAGGAUGACGGAGCCAUGCCGGGUGAAUGAUGAAGGUCUGAGGAUAGUAAAAUUCUUUCACCGGGGACGAUAAUGACGGUACCCGGAGAAGAAGCCCCGGCUAACUUCGUG
rnacentral:rRNA from 1 species